rfam:[Eubacterium rectale] ATCC 33656 chromosome, complete genome.
UCCAUCGUGAGAUGGAAUCUGAAGGAAGCUGGAUGUGAGGAAUAUACCAACUCACGGGCAAAUCUCUGGUCUGACGAACAGAAAUCUCAUAUGAGGUCAUGCAUGUGGGUAAGACAGCAACCCAUGUUAAAGCCCAAUAACUACACGGAAUAAUGCAUGAUAAAUGAGGCAGAUGGAUGGAGAGGAAGAAACGUGUG